rnacentral:rRNA from 1 species
UACGUAGGAUGCGAGCGUUAUCCGGAUUUAUUGGGUUUAAAGGGUGCGUAGGCGGGAUGCCAAGUCAGCGGUAAAAAUGCGGUGCUCAACGCCGUCGAGCCGUUGAAACUGGCGUUCUUGAGUGGGCGAGAAGUAUGCGGAAUGCGUGGUGUAGCGGUGAAAUGCAUAGAUAUCACGCAGAACUCCGAUUGCGAAGGCGGCAUACCGGCGCCCUACUGACGCUGAGGCACGAAAGCGUGGGUAUCGAACAGG